GGCAAAAGGUUUUACCUGCUGCGAAUGUGCUAACAUAAUAAUACAGUUUGGCUAAAAUACACAAUGAAGACGUUUGGUGAUUAGUACAAACUCUAUAAAGUCAAAACAUUUUAUGUCUUAUUAACAUCAUGGAUUUGUUAGAGGCUUUCAAAUAAAAUGUGAUCGGUUUCAACUAAGCUGCCCCCUACUGGCGGAGGAGAGGUACUGUCGUGUUUUAGACCAGAGGAAGCUUUUAAAAACAGAGAAAUAUCUGUUUUCAAAAAUAUGUAUAUUGAAAAAUUAUAGCUGGGGCAUGGGUUCUCUUUUGGUGUUUCCAUUAAAUAAGAAAUGCAAUUAAAAAUCACAUGUGAAUAAGUUUGUUCACAUGAUAAUUCAUUAAAAAAAACACAGCGGGGGGCCAUCUUCCUCCAGCUACUUCCUGUGGUCUUCUUCUUCAUGGUUUGCACCAGUGGCAAUGUCCGAUCAUGUGACCCUUU